GUUCUUAUAGUUUAUACAAAAAUAUGACACUGAAAAUGUUAAGAAAAGUUUUUAAGAAU
rnacentral:tRNA from 1 species